GUAUAAUAGUUCCAAUUAUUUAUGAUAUGGCUUCAGGUACCACUCAGCAGGCAGACAUUCCCAGACAGCAGAACUCUUCUGUUGCUGCGCCAAUGAUGGUCAGCAACAUUCUGAAGAGGUUUGCAGAGAUGAACCCUCCACGACAAGGUGAAUGCACAAUAUUUGCAGCUGUUCGUGAUUUAAUGGCUAAUCUUACACUGCCCCCUGGUGGGCGUCCAUAGACACUAUUGUUUUUAAACCAGGAAGGCUGACAAAUGAAACAAAACAACACACACACACAAAAAGGCUGAAUUCAGCCAUCAGUUUUAAAAAGGAAAAGGACUUUUUUUUAACCUUAAGAGCUAAAUAUUCUAAACUGGCAACAUUUUCAGGGUGCACUUCAUCAAAAAGACCAUCAAUUUUUUUUUUUGUAUAGUGAUCUUGUAUAGUGUGUUUAAAUGCGACACAUUUCAAACUAGGUAACAGAUCAGUGUCCACGUGCCAGUAAUAGAUUUAAUAUUCUGUUUUAACCUAUAAAGUAAUGAAAAUGCCAAACAUGUUUAUUUAAUUGUUUUCUUAUGUUUUGGGUGUAAUGGUCCUUUUUGAUUUUUGUUUUGUUUUUUUAAGGCAGGUCUGUCAGUUUUAAAUACUGUAAAACUGUGACAAACUUUAUAUUGAAGCUGUAUUUUAAUAUGACCGUUUUGAAUCCUGACUCAGAAAUGGUUUUGGGAGCUGUUAGACAUAUCCCAGAAAAGCAAUAUUUAAUAAAACAAGGAUAUAAAAGAAACACUCACUUGUGUGUGUGUAUAAGCUCUUUAGAGUUGUUAGGGCCUCCCUUCAUCGUUAACCUAGUGGGGCCAGUCAGUUUUUAAUUAUGUAUGUCUGAAAUUUGACCAAAAACACUUUGUUUUAAUGUUAGUUUCUUCAGACAUUCCUAACAUGACUGGUGAUAACACUUAGCUCCUCAUUGUUUCUCAAUCUAGGAUUUGGAUUAAAUUGGAAGAGCUUUGUCUUUGAAAAGAGACAGUGAUUUAUAAUGAUCAAGGGUCCCAAAUAAUGCAAUUCUCCUGUGUGAGAAAAUGGGAACCAUUUUACUAGGAAAAUGUCAUUUUUAAGGUAUACUUCUGCAUACAGCAUUAACUAGGAAGCAAAGAACGUGAAUGCUCAAGUUUGGAUGAAGUUUUGGUGACAUUUCUUUAUUUUAUUUAACUUUUUACCUUCCCCAUCUGGGGUUGUUCUAAACAAUCUGAAUUUAAUCCGUUGUCAGCAAAACAAUAGGACGUCAACCUAGUCCAGUCAUUUGGAAAGUCCACAGUGCAGGGCGUGUCCCGUGUCCAGUGGGGUUUCUGGCACUGGCACAUGUCAAUAGUUCUUUUUAGAGUACCGUACUGUCUCUUGCAGCCAGUCAGAGACUUUUUAAACUUUGAUAAAUAUGGUCUAAUCAAAAUGUCUUGAUGUUAUUCGGAUCAGAUUUUCUUUUUGUUUUGUGUGUUUUUUUUAAAUGAUAAUAUGCUGAGUUAUCUAGACAAUGUAUUAUGAUCCUUGGUGAAAUUUUAGAUGUUUGUCUGAUUAUAUUUUAAGAUGAUUGAGCUUCUACAACGAUAACCAUGGGAUUCUAGUUUGUUUUUUUUUUUUAAGUAUCCUACUGCAACUGUAUCAUGUAUGUUCUCAACUUCGCUUGAGUCUCCCUUUGCAGUCAGAGUUGAGGCCUUCUUUGUCUUCUCUGUCUCUUUUCUGCCCUCAUCUCCUGCUUUUCACCCAACUCUGCCACUGUUCCAGAGUAGGUGACUAAACUUUUAUUCUUCCUUUAGCUUAACCUUUUUCUCCUUCUGUUUUCAGUUCUCUUCGCAGUACUAAUCACGUGGGUUUGGCAAUCUAAGAUGUCUUGAUCAGGAGUCAAUCCUUUUCUAUCUGGAGCUGAAUCCUAUCUUUCAUGUAGAAAUCUACAUGUAUAUACAAGAAAUGUAUUUUUAUCUGCAGGAUGAUAUUGUUUCAAAUAAUUUUAUUAAUAGAAUUAACUUUUCAGGUAUUUUCUCUUUUAAGUGUGGUUUUGAAAUGUUAAAUGCGUUUUUAUACAUGAUGCAGUCAAUGGCUACUUUUUCCUAAUUGAAACUCACCUUUGAGUGCAUCAUGUAAAUCAAGUGAGAUAGGAUUCAAUGAACAGAAUUUGAUUUGGAUGCUUAUUAAGAGUAAACCAAUGAAUUUGAAUUUUGAUAUCAUGCUUGGUACUUGGAAUUGGUAUAUACUUUAUUAAAGCUUGGAAAUACUUAGCAUUUGAAUCGUACCUUUCAUCACGAACCAUGUCUUCUGCCUCUUUUGUUAACCAGAUUCAAUCAAAGAAACUGGAUACCAUAGUGACUUUUCUCUAGUAGGUGGUUUGGAACUUGAUUUUGAGGUGUUUUCAAUGUGAUUUUAGUAUUUGCGGUAAUAAAUAAAAUUUAUACAAGUUUCAGAG
rnacentral:lncRNA from 1 species